rnacentral:rRNA from 1 species
UUGAACGCUGGCGGCAGGCCUAACACAUGCAAGUCGAACGGUAACAGGAAGCAGCUUGCUGCUUUGCUGACGAGUGGCGGACGGGUGAGUAAUGUCUGGGAAACUGCCCGAUGGAGGGGGAUAACUACUGGAAACGGUAGCUAAUACCGCAUAACGUCGCAAGACCAAAGAGGGGGACCUUAGGGCCUCUUGCCAUCGGAUGUGCCCAGAUGGGAUUAGCUAGUAGGUGGGGUAAAGGCUCACCUAGGCGACGAUCCCUAGCUGGUCUGAGAGGAUGACCAGCCACACUGGAACUGAGACACGGUCCAGACUCCUACGGGAGGCAGCAGUGGGGAAUAUUGCACAAUGGGCGCAAGCCUGAUGCAGCCAUGCCGCGUGUAUGAAGAAGGCCUUCGGGUUGUAAAGUACUUUCAGCGGGGAGGAAGGGAGUAAAGUUAAUACCUUUGCUCAUUGACGUUACCCGCAGAAGAAGCACCGGCUAACUCCGUGCCAGCAGCCGCGGUAAUACGGAGGGUGCAAGCGUUAAUCGGAAUUACUGGGCGUAAAGCGCACGCAGGCGGUUUGUUAAGUCAGAUGUGAAAUCCCCGGGCUCAACCUGGGAACUGCAUCUGAUACUGGCAAGCUUGAGUCUCGUAGAGGGGGGUAGAAUUCCAGGUGUAGCGGUGAAAUGCGUAGAGAUCUGGAGGAAUACCGGUGGCGAAGGCGGCCCCCUGGACGAAGACUGACGCUCAGGUGCGAAAGCGUGGGGAACAAACAGGAUUAGAUACCCUGGUAGUCCACGCCGUAAACGAUGUCGACUUGGAGGUUGUGCCCUUGAGGCGUGGCUUCCGGAGCUAACGCGUUAAGUCGACCGCCUGGGGAGUACGGCCGCAAGGUUAAAACUCAAAUGAAUUGACGGGGGCCCGCACAAGCGGUGGAGCAUGUGGUUUAAUUCGAUGCAACGCGAAGAACCUUACCUGGUCUUGACAUCCACGGAAGUUUUCAGAGAUGAGAAUGUGCCUUCGGGAACCGUGAGACAGGUGCUGCAUGGCUGUCGUCAGCUCGUGUUGUGAAAUGUUGGGUUAAGUCCCGCAACGAGCGCAACCCUUAUCCUUUGUUGCCAGCGGUCCGGCCGGGAACUCAAAGGAGACUGCCAGUGAUAAACUGGAGGAAGGUGGGGAUGACGUCAAGUCAUCAUGGCCCUUACGACCAGGGCUACACACGUGCUACAAUGGCGCAUACAAAGAGAAGCGACCUCGCGAGAGCAAGCGGACCUCAUAAAGUGCGUCGUAGUCCGGAUUGGAGUCUGCAACUCGACUCCAUGAAGUCGGAAUCGCUAGUAAUCGUGGAUCAGAAUGCCACGGUGAAUACGUUCCCGGGCCUUGUACACACCGCCCGUCACACCAUGGGAGUGGGUUGCAAAAGAAGUAGGUAGCUUAACCUUCGGGAGGGCGCUUACCACUUUGUGAUUCAUGACUGGGGUG